UAGUAUCUGUCUUACGUUUAUCAUCCGUCUCCCCACUAUAAGAAUGUAAGCUUCAUAAAGGGAGGAAAUCUUCAAUAUUUUGCUCCUGAUAGAUCCCAAACAGGUAAAGCAGCACUUGACACAUGGUAGGCAUUCAAUAAAUGUGUCUUGAAUUGAAUUAACUUGAGAGAAAUACCCUUUUUUUCUGAGACAAAGUCUUGCUCUGUUCAGGCUGGAAUGCAAUGGUGCAAUCUUGGCUCACUGCAGCCUCCUCCCCCCAGGUUCAAGCAGUUCUCAUGCCUCAGCCUCCUGAGCACCUGGGAUUACAGAUACUAGUGAGUCAUUGAAUAACUAUUAAAAUGUUCAGAGACUAACAAAAUAAUCGGCAAUGGAUGUUGAAGAACUAUGAAUAAAAAAUAUGCUCUAUGGAUCAGAUUUCCCUGUCCCCACGACUGGGGAGGUCUCACAGGGCAGAAGGCAAGGAGGAACAAGUCACAUCCAUGUGGAUGACAGCAGGCAAAGAGAGCUUGUGCAGGGGAACUCCCAUUGAUAAAACCAUCAGAUCCUGUGAGAUGUACUCACUAUCACAAGAACAGCACGGGAAAGACCUGGCCCCAUGAUUCAGUCAUCUCCCACUGGAUCCCUCCAAUAACACAUGGGAAUUCAAGGUAAGCCCCUAGUUACACGAAGUGAGGAUUUUCCUGAAUACGGAUAUUAGGAUUAUGUCCUUUUGUAACGUUAGUGUUGGAUCCCGUAUCUUUACAUUCACUAAAGCAUCUGCUACUGAGCCAGUGCACCCAUGUUUUGCUCCUGCAGAUACAGUUCAUGAUGAUCAAGGGUACUUGACUGUCUGUCUUGUGAUUAAUAAAAAUGCUGUGGGCAAUUUUCCA
rnacentral:lncRNA from 13 species